CAAUAGCGUAUAUUAAAGUUGUUGCAGUUAAAAAGCUCGUAGUUGAAUUUUUGCUUGCCGCCGAUGUCGGAACUUCCGUACGUUCGGCGGCGUGCAUCCUUGGGUGGAACCUGUGUGGCAUUAGGUUGUCGUGCAGGGGAUGCUCAUCGUUUACUGUGAAAAAAUUAGAGUGUUCAAAGCAGGCUUACGCCGUUGAAUAUAUUAGCAUGGAAUAAUAAGAUAGGACCUUGGUACUAUUUUGUUGGUUUGCGCACCGAGGUAAUGAUUAACAGGGACAGUUGGGGGUAUUCGUAUUCCAUUGUCAGAGGUGAAAUUCUUGGAUUUCUGGAAGACAAACUACUGCGAAAGCAUUACCAAGGAUGUUUUCAUUAA
rnacentral:rRNA from 1 species